GACGCGAUGAGUUGAGAAAAUAUGAAGCCAGAUACCAAGCUUCCUUGGAGAAUGCUGGGCACUCACAAGAUGGACAUCAUUUGCCAAACCAGCAAUUGAGUGAUGCUGACAAAGGAAAGAAAACAGAACUGGUGGAUGCAGAUGAUGGAUAUGAUGAUGGAAUUGACUUAGAAGAUGCACAUACAGAUGGAUAUGAUGAUGGUGAUCAUGAAGAUUGGAACCAUACCGUUGCUGCCGAAUCCCAGGACAUAAAUGACAGACAUUUUCUUGAUACACAUGUUGCAGGAAAUAACUAUCAAAAUCAUGCCAAAGAGGCUGGUAAAACGUACAGGGACUUUUCCAAUAAGGAAUCCUCUUCAAGUUCUCAUCACCAAAAAUCUAACACAAACUCUGGACGUGUCAGCUUCAUUGAUGGUCACCCCUCAAAGAAGUCUUCGUCAGAAAAGCGGCCAGUACCCAGA
rnacentral:misc_RNA from 1 species